AAUAAAAUAAAAUAAGAAAGAAAAGGAGAAAAACAAUAAUAGAAAAGAAAUAGGAAAGAAAAUACCCAGAAAUGAGACACCAAGGGGAUUCGAAGGCAGGACCAGGGCGUGUUGCGAAGAAGCGCUGACCAACUCAACCACGUCCACACUUGCGUCAAAUAUGAGCGACAGCUACAAUAUAACCUGCUGUAGCUGCUGCAUCUGUCAUCUGAAAAAUAUUGGAUUCCCUUCUCCUAGCCCGAGCCCAGAGCUGAAAUGCUCUCUUCUGUCCAUUCCCAUUUUGCAGAAGAAAAAUAAUAUUGCUUGGAUAAACCAAAGCCUCUCGCUGUGUUCCAGAGAAUCAGAAAAGAUCUCUGAUUUCUCUCUUCUCAAGACCAUCCAUCUCCGCCUUCGCUCUUCUUCAUUCUCUCCAACACUCACGAUCCUUUCCUCUCUUUCAACCCAAUUACACCAGCAUUUUCAUCUGUGUGAGGAGGCCACAUCUGCAGCAAACACAACCAGUGGGGUUGAAUUAUCUGAUGCACCUGAAUUUUUGGAUGGUUUUGGAGUCCCUGGAUUCCUCAAAUUCAGAUCUGUCUCAAUCCAUGUCACCAGAUGCUAACUUGUUCCAAGAUGAAAACAAGCUGAAGCUGAACAAAAGUCUAUUCUCCACCAGUAAGGACCCCAGAUUUGUGCAUCUCGUAGGAUGCCAGCUAUUGGAUGCUCACUUGAAUUGUCAAAGAAUUGGAAUCCUAUGUGGCCAAGCUUGAAGUUGAGAUUGGUGACUUCAAAAAUCUGCUGGUCACUCGUGUGUUUCACAGGAGCAAAACCACAACCACAGAAUUCUCAAGGCUUCAAAACUGGUCUGAGAGGAGAGACCUUUACUCUCAGCAAUAUUGAGAACACUGAGUCACCCAGGAACCACUUGACCAAUAAUCUUGCAAGGAUUGUUGUCAAGACCCAAUAUCCAUCUGAAGGAAAAAUGCAGAUCCAUGAGAGGGCAGUCAACACACAAACUCAAAGGGCAUGGAAUCACAUGGGGGUGCCAAAGGUGGACCCGUGCAUCUGACAUGUUGGGAGAACCUACUGAUAACUCAAAAAUGCCCCUUUUCUGUGAAUGUUCUGCUGCCCAUUGCUGAGAUUCUGUAGCCAUCAUAUCAAACAGUUCAAAUGCCUCUCUUGCAGAUUUAUUUGAUAAUGAUCCUCCAGCUGAUGCAUUCACAUGGCUCUUAGAUGUAGGAUUAAGCCCAUCAAAGAAAAUAUUCAUUUGUGUAUCUGAAUCAAUUUUGACAUGUGGACACUUUAUGUACAUCUCUGUAUAUCUCUCCCACGCUUCAUGAAACUCUUCAUUGGGCUUCUGUGUGAAUGUCAAAAUCUCCCUCUUGUAAUUCAAUGUCUUGGAUGCUGGAUAAUAUUUGUUCAGGAAUUUUGUGUGUAACUGCUGCCAAGUAGUAAUGCUAUUAGCUGGUAGAG